GCCGGAAUGGCGGAAUUGGUAGACGCGUAAGAUUCAGAAUCUUAUAGAUAAUAAAGUCUGUGCGGGUUCAAGUCCCACUUCCGGCA
rnacentral:tRNA from 1 species